rnacentral:rRNA from 1 species
AAAUUGAAGAGUUUGAUCAUGGCUCAGAUUGAACGCUGGCGGCAGGCCUAACACAUGCAAGUCGAACGGUAACAGRAAGCAGCUUGCUGCUUUGCUGACGAGUGGCGGACGGGUGAGUAAUGUCUGGGAAACUGCCUGAUGGAGGGGGAUAACUAYUGGAAACGGUAGCUAAUACCGCAUAAYGUCGCAAGACCAAAGAGGGGGACCUUCGGGCCUCUUGCCAUCGGAUGUGCCCAGAUGGGAUUAGCUAGUAGGUGGGGUAAAGGCUCACCUAGGCGA